rnacentral:tRNA from 1 species
GGCUUUAAAUACUUUCGGUUGCAACCCGAAAAAUAAAAGCGAUGCUUUUGAAAGCCU